AGUAACAUUACUGGGUUAUAUGGUAAGUGUAUGUUUACUUUGUAAGAAACUGUCGAACUGUUUUCCAGAGUGGCUGUAUCAUGUUACGUUCUCAACAGCAAU
rnacentral:pre_miRNA from 1 species